GAUGAACGCUGGCGGCGUGCCUAAUACAUGCAAGUAGAACGCUGAAGGAGGAGCUUGCUCUUCUGGAUGAGUUGCGAACGGGUGAGUAACGCGUAGGUAACCUGCCUGGUAGCGGGGGAUAACUAUUGGAAACGAUAGCUAAUACCGCAUGACAACAGUUAUUGCAUGAUAACUGUUUAGAAGGGGCAACUGCUCCACUACCAGAUGGACCUGCGUUGUAUUAGCUAGUUGGUGAGGUAACGGCUCACCAAGGCGACGAUACAUAGCCGACCUGAGAGGGUGAUCGGCCACACUGGGACUGAGACACGGCCCAGACUCCUACGGGAGGCAGCAGUAGGGAAUCUUCGGCAAUGGACGGAAGUCUGACCGAGCAACGCCGCGUGAGUGAAGAAGGUUUUCGGAUCGUAAAGCUCUGUUGUAAGAGAAGAACGAGUGUGAGAGUGGAAAGUUCACACUGUGACGGUAUCUUACCAGAAAGGGACGGCUAACUACGUG
rnacentral:rRNA from 1 species